CACAUGUUAGCGUUGUCCUACAUCUCCACUUCCUUUGGGAUUCUUUUCCUGCUUCCCCAUGUGGAAGGAGAGAAUGUCAGAGCUAGAAGGGGAUCAGGCCAACCUCCCCAUGAUCGAGCCUCUAAAGCUGCCCACAACCUUGCAGCCUUCCUUCAGAUCAAUAAGCAAACCUGCUCCGAAUGGACUCUGGGUCACGUGGGACUCUUGACCCCUUUGGGAAAAUUAGAAAAAGGCAUCACUUCCUCCAAGUGGACAUGGCUUUUCCAGCCCAGAGAAGAAUUCCUUCCUUAACUGACUGCAAUUCCUAUAAUGGAUUUAAUUCUUAAAUCACUAAAAGUACAGUUGAAGACUUGAGUUGUGGACAGUGAGGAAUUAGAGACAUACACUUUGAGGGAAGGUGAGAACAAAUAACCCUGUGAUGAAAGACAGCCACCUGUGCCAUCAAUGAAAAGGAAGAAACGGCAACAGCAACCAACCGGUGAGCAAUGUCCAGAUUCAGAGUCCCACGUCAGCGAAUCAGCGAAUGUAAGAGAGAGGAAAAGAAUGCGUGAGCUGUCAGUUAUCCUGGUAAGUUACGAUUUCCCUUAUUUGAGAGGAGGGGAUCGGAUAGGGUUGGUAAAGAGACAAAAAACAAUGGACCCACUUCUGGUAAGAUUUCUUUAAAACCAGCCAAAUAAUAUAUGAGCUACAUUGUGGUUUGGAGAUUCCAGAGGGUUUCCUUGAAGUAAGUGCCUAUCUAUCAAUAUAUCAUUAUUAUCUUACCUUCUAACAACUUCUGAAACGAGAAAUGACUCAGUGGCAGUGAACAUAAUGAUGAACAGAAAGCCCUAACAAUCCCAACACUCAGGUAGUAAGAGCACCUAACUAUUAUGACAUGAGGUCCCACCCUCCUACAGGAGAGGAGGAAAUGCUACCAAAAAGAAAACAAAAUUCUUAGCCAAGAAGAGUGUGCCUUUAUUUUCCAAAUAUUUCCUACUUCCUCAAGUAGAUGACACGGUGUGAGCUGCGCAGACCUUCACCUUAGCUUUAGCGCUUUCCACACCAUGGCCUUGCCCAGACAGGCAAAAAACGAACUUAGAAACAUGGCAACUGUGCUAUCCCUUCAUAUUUCUUGCGUACCUCCUUCUCCAACUAAAACGCCAAGAUCCAAGCCACAAUGCAGGGACUGAGUUCUACAAUUUAACCUUUCAUUCCUAUCUCAACUAUCUUCAUUCCCAAAUGGCAGCAUUUUCAAGUGUCAAAAUCCAUCUUCACAUCUUUGUAGAAAAGUGAAAUACUCUGCUAAUCUUUCAGAUGAGAUCAAAGGGGGCUUCCAAGAAGGCCCAGGCCAGGAAGAGCCAUAUCUUUCUCAGGGGAGCCCUAAAGAUGAGUAAAAUCUCAAUGAACAUGCUUCCUGUCCGAAGGGCUCCUAAGUACCUACAACAUGGAGGGAGCGCCCUCUAGUGGUGAGACAAGGCAAUACGGCAGGAUUUCCCACCAGAACUGAUGGGGGUGCUUGCUCCUCAGCUUGCUUCUGCAAACCAGAAAGGAAGGAAAAGCCCAAAGAUGCAGAUGCCGCUGCCCACAGAGGGAAAGGUUGAGGA